AGGCCAAUGGUGAUAAAUUUUACAUCUUAGUGGAUAUCAGUGAGAUUUUAUCAAUGGUCUAAAUGUUACACACACUAAAGCGU